UACGGAGGGUGCAAGCGUUGUUCGGAAUUACUGGGCGUAAAGAGCGUGUAGGCGGCUAGUUAAGUCAGAUGUGAAAGCCCUGGGCUCAACCCAGGAAGUGCAUUUGAAACUAAUUAGCUAGAGUACGAGAGAGGAAGGUGGAAUUCCUGGUGUAGAGGUGAAAUUCAUAGAUAUCGGGAAGAAUACCGGUGGCGAAGGCGGCCUCCUGGCUCGACACUGACGCUGAGGUGCGAAAGCGUGGGGAGCAAACAGG
rnacentral:rRNA from 1 species